rnacentral:misc_RNA from 1 species
ACGUGUUCUACGACGGCGAGGGGCGCCCUGCUCCGGUCCCAAAAGGCCGUGCAGCGGGCGCCACGAGCCGCUCGACCUUUGCAAACCCACAGUAGUGCACUUUUGUCGGCAGAGGGGCCCCUGCGGCUCCGAGCCGGAUCACAAACACUAUGUAAACAGAAUGAUAUGCGGACGCAGUUCCGCCCAAACUUUGA